rnacentral:rRNA from 1 species
AGAGUUUGAUCAUGGCUCAGAUUGAACGCUGGCGGCAGGCCUAACACAUGCAAGUCGAACGGUAACAGGAAGCAGCUUGCUGCUUCGCUGACGAGUGGCGGACGGGUGAGUAAUGUCUGGGAAGCUGCCUGAUGGAGGGGGAUAACUACUGGAAACGGUAGCUAAUACCGCAUAAUGUCGCAAGACCAAAGAGGGGGACCUUCGGGCCUCUUGCCAUCGGAUGUGCCCAGAUGGGAUUAGCUUGUUGGUGGGGUAACGGCUCACCAAGGCGACGAUCCCUAGCUGGUCUGAGAGGAUGACCAGCCACACUGGAACUGAGACACGGUCCAGACUCCUACGGGAGGCAGCAGUGGGGAAUAUUGCACAAUGGGCGCAAGCCUGAUGCAGCCAUGCCGCGUGUAUGAAGAAGGCCUUCGGGUUGUAAAGUACUUUCAGCGGGGAGGAAGGGAGUAAAGUUAAUACCUUUGCUCAUUGACGUUACCCGCAGAAGAAGCACCGGCUAACUCCGUGCCAGCAGCCGCGGUAAUACGGAGGGUGCGAGCGUUAAUCGGAAUUACUGGGCGUAAAGCGCACGCAGGCGGUUUGUUAAGUCAGAUGUGAAAUCCCCGGGCUCAACCUGGGAACUGCAUCUGAUACUGGCAAGCUUGAGUCUCGUAGAGGGGGGUAGAAUUCCAGGUGUAGCGGUGAAAUGCGUAGAGAUCUGGAGGAAUACCGGUGGCGAAGGCGGCCCCCUGGACGAAGACUGACGCUCAGGUGCGAAAGCGUGGGGAGCAAACAGGAUUAGAUACCCUGGUAGUCCACGCCGUAAACGAUGUCGACUUGGAGGUUGUGCCCUUGAGGCGUGGCUUCCGGAGCUAACGCGUUAAGUCGACCGCCUGGGGAGUACGGCCGCAAGGUUAAAACUCAAAUGAAUUGACGGGGGCCCGCACAAGCGGUGGAGCAUGUGGUUUAAUUCGAUGCAACGCGAAGAACCUUACCUGGUCUUGACAUCCACGGAAGUUUUCAGAGAUGAGAAUGUGCCUUCGGGAACCGUGAGACAGGUGCUGCAUGGCUGUCGUCAGCUCGUGUUGUGAAAUGUUGGGUUAAGUCCCGCAACGAGCGCAACCCUUAUCCUUUGUUGCCAGCGGUCCGGCCGGGAACUCAAAGGAGACUGCCAGUGAUAAACUGGAGGAAGGUGGGGAUGACGUCAAGUCAUCAUGGCCCUUACGACCAGGGCUACACACGUGCUACAAUGGCGCAUACAAAGAGAAGCGACCUCGCGAGAGCAAGCGGACCUCAUAAAGUGCGUCGUAGUCCGGAUUGGAGUCUGCAACUCGACUCCAUGAAGUCGGAAUCGCUAGUAAUCGUGGAUCAGAAUGCCACGGUGAAUACGUUCCCGGGCCUUGUACACACCGCCCGUCACACCAUGGGAGUGGGUUGCAAAAGAAGUAGGUAGCUUAACCUUCGGGAGGGCGCUUACCACUUUGUGAUUCAUGACUGGGGUGAAGUCGUAACAAGGUA